rnacentral:rRNA from 1 species
GACGAGCCCACACGAACGUUAUUCGGAAUUACUGGGCUUAAAGGGUGCGUAGGCGGCGCGGAAAGUUGGGUGUGAAAUCCCUCGGCUUAACCGAGGAACUGCGCCCAAAACUGCCGUGCUCGAGGAAGAUAGAGGUGAGCGGAACUUACGGUGGAGCGGUGAAAUGCGUUGAUAUCGUAAGGAACACCCGUGGCGAAAGCGGCUCACUGGGUCUUUCUGACGCUGAUGCACGAAAGCUAGGGGAGCAAACGGGAUUAGAUA